rnacentral:lncRNA from 1 species
CGUCUCUCAAGGACCAAUUUUGGUUCUGUCAUAAGAUCAAACACGUAGUGAGGAAGGAGGUGGGAUUUUAAGCAGUUUCACAAAUUGAAUUAACAACACAAAUGACUUAGAUUAAAUAGCAAUUAAAAACGAUCGGUAACUGGUUCAAUUGCAAUACUUCCUAUCCUUGAUUAAUAACAAAAUACACAUUCCUCUGACCCUUAAUCCAACACAAACUAACCAACUAAGCGAAGCCUAAAAUAGUUUUUAUAAAAGCAAAUUAAGCAAACGCUAUGAACCAUUUAAUC